AUGGAGAUGGGCAUCCCACAUGGGAUUGUUCCCAUGCACCCCUGGACUGUUCUCAUGGUGCCUCGUGCUGCCCAUGUGCUCCCCAGUGCUCACCCAGUCCUCCCCAGGGCUCUCCCAGUGCUUCCCAGUCCUCGCCCAGUCCACCCCCAGUUCUCCCCAGUGCUUCCCAGUGCUCCCUCGGUGCUCCACCAGUGUUCUUCCAUGAUUCUCCCAGUGCUUCCCAGUGCUCCCCAGUGCUCCCCACUGCUUCCCAGUGCCCCCCAGUGCUCCCCCAGUCCUCCCCAUUGCUUCCCAGUGCUCUCCCAGUGCCCUCCCAGUCCUCAGCAGUGCUCUCAGUGCUCCCCCAGUGCUUUCCCAGUGCUUCCCAGUGCUUUUUCCUGGGCCUCUCACCCCACAGGUCCCCACUGUGGCACACAGUGUCCCGUCGUGCCCACGCUGUGCUGUUGGAGGACACACAGUUCCAUCCAUGACCCAGACAGCUCCGCAUGCCGUGAGCUCGGUGCCGUCUGGCUCCCAGCACGUGUGAAUAAUGCAUGGUGCUGCUCUGCCCUCAGCCCUGCUGUGUGUCUCAGUGCUGAUGCAGAAGGACGGCCAUCAUUUCUAAAUGGGUGAUUCAGAAGGAAGCACUCCUGAUUCCCACGUCAGCACAUUGCUGAUGCGUCCCUUCCUGCCAGGCAGCAGCUCAGGGGAUGGAGAAUCAGAAUGGAUUGUGGUGGGAUGAUGGAGUUCCCACCCUGCUCUGUUCCCCAGCUCCAAAGCCCCAGUUCAACCCAGUACAUCCCAGUAUGGAGGGUGGGCGCAGAGGGGCACAGGGCUGGGGUUGCUUUUGUUGCCAUGUAGCAGUGAGGGGUGGAAGGGCUGCUGGAGAAGGAUUGGUUCACCGAUGUUGUCCUUAUGCACGUGGGAAUAUUAGCUCAGAGCCUGGGUUAUGAGGAGAGCUAAUUAGUUAAUCCAUGUAAAGUGCUGUAAGACUCUCAGACAGAGGAAGAGCAGCUGAUGGUGGAGGGGUUCAGGAGGAGCUCUGCUAAUUCAAAGUGAAUUUCAGACACGAAAUCAUUACUGUGCAGAGUGGGAUUACAGGAGGGUUCAUCAGAAGGAAAACUUCAGCACUGAUCGUGUCCCACUGAAUGAACACGAGCACCACACACUGCUCCCAUCAUCACCCCACAGCCCUCCUGCACCUGGAGCUCCCCAGCACUGCAGGGAGCACAGCAUGGACUGCUGCUGCCACCUACGGAGAGAGGGUCCUAUGGAGGGUCCUAUGAGUCCGAUAGAGCAAAUCCUAUAGUGUGAGUCCUACUGUGUGAGUCCUAUAGGGAGCGAGACCUCGAGAGAGAAUCCUGUAGAGAGGGAGUCCUAUGGAGAGCAGGUCCUAUAGAGAGCAAGUCCUAUAGAGAUUCCUAUAGAAAGUGAGUCCUAUAGAGACUGAAUCCUAUGGAGAGAGAGUUCUGUAGAGUCCUAUAGAGAGAGAAUCCUAUAGAGUGAGUCUUAUGGAGUGAGAGUUUUACAGAGAGCAGGACCCAUAGAGAGUCCUAUAGAGAGUCCUACACAGAGAGAGUCUUAUGGAGGGAGUCCUAUGGAGAGAGAAUCCUAUAUAGAGAAUCCUAUAGAA
rnacentral:lncRNA from 1 species